UACGUAGGGGGCGAGCGUUGUCCGGAAUCAUUGGGCGUAAAGAGCGUGUAGGCGGCUUGGCAAGUCUGACGUGAAAGCCCGCGGCUCAACCGCGGAUUGUCGUUGGAAACUGCCUCGCUAGAGUCCGGAAGAGGAGAGCGGAAUUCCUGGUGUAGCGGUGAAAUGCGCAGAUAUCAGGAAGAACACCUAUGGCGAAGGCAGCUCUCUGGGACGGUACUGACGCUGAGGCGCGACAGCGUGGGGAGCAAACAGG
rnacentral:rRNA from 1 species